rnacentral:rRNA from 5 species
ACGGUUGACCUCGGAUCAGGUAGGAAUACCCGCUGAACUUAAGCAUAUCAAUAAGCGGAGGA